GACGAACGCUGGCGGCGUGCUUAACACAUGCAAGUCGAGCGGUAAGGCCCUUUCGGGGGUACACGAGCGGCGAACGGGUGAGUAACACGUGGGUGACCUGCCCUCAGCUCUGGGAUAAGCCUGGGAAACUGGGUCUAAUACUGGAUAUGACUCCACGGUGCAUGUCGUGGGGUGGAAAGCCUUGUGCGGCUGAGGAUGGGCCCGCGGCCUAUCAGCUUGUUGGUGGGGUGANGGCCUACCAAGGCGACGACGGGUAGCCGGCCUGAGAGGCGACCGGCCACACUGGGACUGAGACACGGCCCAGACUCCUACGGGAGGCAGCAGUGGGGAAUCUUGCGCAAUGGGCGAAAGCCUGACGCAGCGACGCCGCGUGAGGGAUGACGGCCU
rnacentral:rRNA from 1 species